UUUACGCAUUUUAAGACAAAUAACUUGUACAUAAAAUAAAUUAGUUAGUUUAAAUUAGUUUGGCUCUAAUAUUAUUAUUGCAAUAAUGUGUAAAACUCCCUGCAGGCCCUGCGGUUGCACAUUUUUUAUGUGAUGCAUAAUGCAUUUCCGGAGCUCCCUAUCUCCCCCAUAUUGUGGACUAGACGAGGCCUAGGCUUUGACUUUGGCUUUGAUUACAACUGCAAUUGGACUAGUUGGAGUGGCUUGGGAUUAUAUUGCAACUCAUAUUUUUUACCCACUCUGCAGUGACAUAUUUCACGCUUAUCGCUCAACUUUCCCAGACUUUCUCAUAGGUCAUCAGAUAUGAUUGCAAAAUAUUUGUUGAAUGUCUAGGUGGAAAUUUCGAUAGCUACUCGCAUUACCAGCGCUUUUUGUCACCCCGCUGUCCUCAGUCGUCGUGUCAACAAAUUUCAGUGGAUGGCGCUAUUUAAAUGCCUUAUCAUCAGCGUAACUUCAUCCCAACCUCCACAGAUCUCUUGGUCAUUUCCGUUACUCGUUAAACGAUAAGCUCGAAGUCCAAUAAAAAUUCAUCAAUUUUUGAGACGUACUUAGGCCUUAUCACGCCAAUAAAUGCAAACAGAUCUGCUGGCAAGGUGUCAAUUUAAAAAAAUGUUUUAUGCGCAAAAAAGCUGUGAAUGAA